rnacentral:miRNA from 1 species
GUUUCUAUGACUCUCUCUUUCUCUCUCUCACUCUCUCUCUCUCUCUCUAUGUUGUAAGAGUGGAAAAAAUUAAGAAUAAUUUGUUAUGAUUUAAAGAAAACUGGCAUAAAUCAUACUUAGAAUUCAAGUCAGAGAGAGAGAGAGAGAGAGAGAGAGAGAGAGAGAGAGAAGGAAAGA